AAGAGAGUUUCCUUAGUGCACCUCACACACACACACACAGAAGGAGUUGGGGGGGGGGCAUGGAGGGCACUGUACAAACCAGCGUUACUCAAGAGAGUUGGGGAUCUCCUGUGGAGGGUGCUGCACGGGAUCACUGCAGUAAAUAAGAUGUGGUUGUUGUAGUUAGGGGUUUGAUCAGGGACACAGUGAUGGUGGAGUUUCAGUAUUACAAAGCAAUGGAGAACCUGAGUGUGUUUCAGAGUGUGUGUGUUAUAAGGGUGUUUUAUGUUCAGUGGAGGGAGGGGAGAUAUUUUUGCACAUGGAACAGGGUGAGUGAAUGGAAUAAGUUUCCUUUCUGACAGAUUUGUGUUUUUUUCAUAUGAUCGUGGUUUUGUGUUUUAUUGUGCCUUUGUUUUUAUAUAUGUGAUGUCAUUGGUGUGUUAAGAGUGGAAAUAAAGGAUGGUUAAAAUUCAGAAUUCUGUUCUGCUGUUCUUACAGUGUGGACCAUGGAGGAGAGAACAGGACCAAACCAGGACCCAGGAAAUACGGCUGUCAGCUCACACUGGAUCCAAACACAGCGUGCAGAAAGCUGUCUCUGUCUGAGGGGAACAGGAGGGUGACACACACACCGGGGAGAGAGGAGCCAUAUCCUGAUCAUCCAGAGAGAUUUAAGCACCGGA